UACGUAGGGUGCAAGCGUUGUCCGGAAUUAUUGGGCGUAAAGAGCUCGUAGGCGGUUUGUCGCGUCUGCUGUGAAAACUCGGGGCUUAACUCCGGGCCUGCAGUGGGUACGGGCAGACUAGAGUGCGGUAGGGGAGACUGGAAUUCCUGGUGUAGCGGUGAAGUGCGCAGAUAUCAGGAGGAACACCGGUGGCGAAGGCGGCAUCCUGGACCGGUAUUGACGCUGAUGCGCGAAAGCCAGGGGAGCAAACGGG
rnacentral:rRNA from 1 species